rnacentral:rRNA from 1 species
GGGGCAGGUAAGUGAGAGCGGACGGGGACGGAGAGAGACGGACGCACGCACACACCCCUCGCACUCCUCGCUCCUGCCUCCUCUCCUUAGGUUACCGCCCCGUCCGCCGCUCCGGCUUGGGGACGCGGCGCAAGGCGAGCCAGGGCGGCGGCGACGGGCGCGCGGCGCGGCUGCGGCGCUGCUCCUGGUUCCUACGUGGAACAGGAUGGAGAUUACCGCUAUCUCCAGAAAGACCCGUCACGUUUUUCGGAGGUCUCGUACGGUACGUAUUCGGCAGACCACCAUGUAUAUGUUUUGGACUACGUUCUCACUUCAACUAAGGCCGUCUUCUGUAGUGAAUACAUGCCGUACCUUUCGGAAAACCAUCUUGUCAACCGAGUCGUUUUGACGUCUUUUCUGUGACGUCUGCUUCACAGUGAGGAGGAGGCUCAAGCGCAUUUUAAAGAGAACGCUCUAGUUGUGGUGAAUGAGUGUUCAGAUGCUGUGGCAAAUGAGGGUUCCGGUACGGUGGCGAAUUAGUGUUCCGAAGCCGCGGAGAAUGGGUGUUCCGGCGCUGUGGAGAAUGAGUGUUCGGGUACUGUGGUGGGGUAGGACAACGGAGCACAGAAAGAGGAUUCUCUCAACUCUGUCGAGUGUUCCGGAACUCUGGAGAAUCAGGGUUCGGGUGAUGUGGUGGGGACGGACAACGUAGCACAGAAAGAGGAUUCUCUCAACUCUGUCGAGUGUCCCGGAACCCUGGAGAAUCAGGGUUCGGGUGUUGUGGUGGGGACGGACAACGUAGCACAGAAAGAGGAUUCUCUCAACUCUUUCGAGUGUUCCGGAGCUCUGGAGAAUCAGGGUUCGGGUGAUGUGGUGGGGACGGACAACGUAGAANNNNNNNNNNNNNNNNNNNNNNNNNNNNNNNNNUCCGGAGCCCUGGAGAAUCAGGGUUCGGGUCAUGUGGUGGGGACGGACAACGUAGCACAGAGAGAGGAUUCUCUCAACUCUGUCGAGUGUUCCGGAGCCCUGGAGAAUCAGGGUUCGGGUGAUGUGGUGGGGACGGACAACGUAGCACAGAAAGAGGAUUCUCUCAACUCUGUCAACUUUUGUCCGUUAAAAAGAGAGAGUUAGCCGGUAGUGGUGAGAUGUUCAGACAGGUCUCUCCACGUAAAGGAGGUAGACAAAACGCCUUUCUCAGUCUCUACUUAGGGUAGUUGGGAUCAAGACACGUACAAGGAGGACGUAUAAGUUCCUUCCAAGGAGAAUGAUGUUUCCGUCUUGGUGGAGGAUUCUCACAGUAGUGUGAACUGUUGUUUUUCAAUACGAGAUAUUCGUUAGUCCGACGUGAAUUUACAGUCGGGUGUUUUUCUCUGCGUCUAGGAUAACACCUUUUUCUUUGAUGACACUUCGAAGGUAAUGACUCGGGUUGUAGACACGAAUCAAGUUCAAGGUGGCUCCAUACAGAUCUAUGACCUUCCAGAAGCAGGUCUGAUUUAAACAAACUACCUUUUAGGUUCGACCUGAGCGACGUCGGACUUUGUUUGUAUGGAGUUCGUUUUUCGGGUCUCAGAUGUUAAGGUUGGGGUACACGAGUUGAAAGGCUACUAAACUCUCAACAAAGGAGGUGAUUCUCGGUACAGCUCUCUGUUUGCUUGGUCCUUGGUAGUUAAUCAGCAUUGUACAGAAGUCCACGGGUUAAUUAAGAUGUAUGUGGUGACACGUUCCUCUGUAUGGUUGGUCUCCGGACGACCUUCCCGUUUAAACUUUAUUGACCUCUCGAUUGUGUGUGAACACUACCUGAACUUCGGAUAAAGGGAACACUUUAAAGAUCGUUUCAAAUACUUCGAAGUUUUGUCUACGGACUUUAGAACUUCGAUCUCCGAGAUGGAGAAAGACCGGACAAUGGUUUUUUUAAGUUCUACCUUGGUGGAACACGAGUUCUAUAACCUGACACGAAGUAUUCAAGAACAGUUUCCGGUUUAUCCCUGAGAAUGGUAGAGGACCUUUUACAAAGAAGUGUAUAACCGAACGCCUGACUGUAGCCGUGGCACCUGAACGAAUAUAAAAGCAGGUUCGACGAAUGCCUUCUACUAGUUUGCUUUCUGCCUCUUGAAAUGGAAAAACCUCAAAAGGUCUUCGUAUGGUCUUUCUCCGUCGUGGCUCAGCUGUCAGUAUGUCUAUAGUCGUUACGACCGGAAAGUUUCCCUCUGACAGUAUAUAGACUCCUAUAACCGUACCUGGACCUAUACUAUCCUCCGUUUAUGUGUUUUCCAUUUUUAGCACUCUAACCGUACUUUGACCUACGUUGUCUCCAGUUUUUCCACCUUUGCUCGUUUGGGUUCCUCCAACUACGUUUACGACACGAGUCAUUACGUCGAGGGCGACAAAGAAAGAAGUGACCCAGAACAUCAGGACUGAGGCGUCCCUGAUGUCUAAGAGAUACGUUUAGACGAUCCUCUCGAGGACGAACGCCUCUGGAACAAAACCUGGGUGGAGGUCCUAAAGGAGAACUACAGGGAGGACCGAAGUGUUCUCGAGUAACACCCGAAGCAUCUCCUUUUUGACGUCUUAGUGUAUAGCUGAGAAGAGGGUCGGAACGAAAGCUGUGAGGUCCUGACUCUGAACUACGAGGAGGACCUAAAUGUUUUCGUGUACCACCCAAUGUGUGGUUACUGUCGUCGUACGGAAGAGGACCUAGUCUUUUACCACGAAGGUGAGAAAAGAGACUCUUUUUCAGGGGUUAGUUCAAGAGAGAGUUGUAAUGUUCCGGAGGACCUAAACGAUUUAACCGACUCCACUUUUUUCUCGGACCCAAUGGUCGUAAGAAAUUCCGAUGCCUCUUUUGUGGUGGUUAACCUUUUCGUUUACUUUUCCUAUAGUUCGUACUAUUCCACUUGCACCUUCACCUCAGCCUACUGUCGAGCCUCCUCGCUCUCAAAGGGUUCUGGUUCUCCGAGAGUCUAUAGGACCCAAGAACACGGAGAAGCAGAACCUCCUUGUUGCGAUGAUGGAGUCGGCGUGGAGCUUUGACGAGGCUUCAAAAGUCCGGACGCUGACGCUCGUUCAAACUCCUUGUUUUCGUCGUCGUAGCCGUAACGUCCUUCUCUCCCGUCGUCCUUCGUAGGUUUAGGCUACGACGACAACUCCGGUGGUUUUCCGAGUUCCAGUUGCCGGCGUAGCGUGACUUGCCUACAGGACGGGAAUUGAGGUUGGUUCGCGUCGGGUUUUGAGGUGGUUGUAUCGGCUCCAGCAGGAAGCAGAGGGCUGGACUGCGUUCACGAGACAGAACACACGCACCGCACAGCAGAGUUGACGAUGGAGAUUGAUUAGCCGAUACUUUUGUCUGCCACUAAUAGUACAGUAUACACAUACAUCAGUCUGUCUAUAUUAAAAUACAUACAUGAUCGACCCGGAUGACAGUACAGUCUUGUUUAUAAUGAAAAGAACUGGAAAACUCAUUGUUGUUCACUGUUGUACCAAUCA